AGUGGCGGACGGGUGAGUAACACGUAGGUAACCUGCCCUUAAGAGGGGGACAACCCAGGAAAACUUGGGCUAAUACCCCAUAAGACCCCUGGGAUAAAAGGAGCGCUUAGGGAUGGGCCUGCGGCCUAUCAGGUAGUUGGUGGGGUAACGGCCCACCAAGCCAGAGACGGGUAGCCGGACUGAGAGGUCGAACGGCCACACUGGAACUGAGACACGGUCCAGACUCCUACGGGAGGCAGCAGUGGGGAAUUUUGCACAAUGGGGGAAACCCUGAUGCAGCGACGCCGCGUGGAGGAUGAAGGCCUUCGGGUUGUAAACUCCUUUUGCAGGGGAAGAUCGACGGUACCCUGCGAAUAAGCCACGGCUAACUCUGUGCCAGCAGCCGCGGUAAGACAGAGGUGGCGAGCGUUGUUCGGAAUCACUGGGCUUAAAGGGCGCGUAGGUGGUAGUG
rnacentral:rRNA from 1 species